rnacentral:tRNA from 1 species
CAGAUGAUUGAUUGUAAUGUAGAGCAAACAGUAAGAACCAUUGCGGUUACGGCGGGUCUGUAGCUCAGGUGGUUAGAGCGCACCCCUGAUAAGGGUGAGGUCGGUAGUUCGAGUCUACUCAGACCAACCAAUAUCGCCUGUAUGGGGUUAUAGCUCAGCUGGGAGAGCGCCUGCCUUGCACGCAGGAGGUCAGCGGUUCGAUCCCGCUUAACUCCACCAUUCCUCGUGAAUAGAAAAAACUGUUUGAGUUCAAAUCAGAAUGCACUGCGGUGUGUUGUGAUUUGAGCUUUACGCUCAUACUGCUCUUUAACAAUUAGGCAAGCUGAUAGAAAGUAAAAAACAAGGUAAACAAUGUUUAUUGUGAACCUUAAUCACAACAAC